rnacentral:rRNA from 1 species
ACAGAGGAGGCAAGCGUUGUUCGGAAUCACUGGGCUUAAAGCGCGUGUAGGCGGCUUAGAAAGUGUCGUGUGAAAUCCCGCGGCUCAACCGCGGAACUGCACGGCAAACUACUUGGCUUGAGGUCGGUAGAGGUGCCUGGAACUCUAGGUGGGGCGGUAAAAUGCUUAGAUAUCUAGAGAACCGCCAGAGCCGAAGGCGGGGCACGGGCCGAUUCUGACGCUGAGACGCGAAAGCGUGGGGAGCAAACAG